rnacentral:rRNA from 1 species
GACGAACCGAGCGAACGUUGUUCGGAAUAACUGGGCUUAAAGGGCGCGUAGGCGGCGCGUCGCGUCGGGGGUGAAAUCGUCCGGCCUAACCGGACCAGGGCCUCCGAUACGGACACGCUCGAGGGAGGCAGGGGCAGACGGAACUUCCGGUGGAGCGGUGAAAUGCGUUGAUAUCGGAAGGAACGCCGGUGGCGAAAGCGGUCUGCUGGACCUCUUCUGACGCUGAGGCGCGAAAGCCAGGGGAGCGAACGGG